UAGGGAAUCUUCCGCAAUGGACGCAAGUCUGACGGAGCAACGCCGCGUGAGUGAAGAAGGAUUUCGGUUCGUAAAACUCUGUUGUUAGAGAAGAACAGCGCAUAGAGUAACUGUUAUGCGUGUGACGGUAUCUAACCAGAAAGCCACGGCUAACUACGUGCCAGCAGCCGCGGUAAUACGUAGGUGGCAAGCGUUGUCCGGAUUUAUUGGGCGUAAAGCGAGCGCAGGCGGUCAAUUAAGUCUGAUGUGAAAGCCCCCGGCUCAACCGGGGAGGGUCAUUGGAAACUGGUUGACUUGAGUGCAGAAGAGGAGAGUGGAAUUCCAUGUGUAGCGGUGAAAUGCGUAGAUAUAUGGAGGAACACCAGUGGCGAAGGCGACUCUCUGGUCUGUAACUGACGCUGAGGCUCGAAAGCGUGGGUAGCAAUCAGG
rnacentral:rRNA from 1 species